GACCCUGAGUUUGUUGGGAUAUGAUUCACUAAAGAUUCAGGAUCUUUGCUAUAAAUAGGUCUGAAGAUCCUCCUUAAAAGAUAAUUAAUCAAUCAAUUUUCAAUCCCUCUAGAGCAUCCCUAAUACCGGCAUUAUUGCAACUAUCCUCUUGAUUCCUUGUUCUUCCUUACUUUCCACCAAGAAUCCUCUCGAACUUAAUUAUCGGAGGACUCGACCGGAACCAAUGAGAUGAUUUUGAGAUUAAAAAGAUGAGCAACCAGAUCAAGGUCUUGCAAGGCAUAAGAGAUGAUUUUGAGAUGAUAAAUGAGCCUCCCUUCACCAAAAAGAUUAUAGAGGAGCCCCUGCCAAGG
rnacentral:lncRNA from 1 species